GAAAUUUAAACUCAGGUCCUUACACUUGUCUGAUAAGUACUUUAGCCUUCUUUGUAACUCCUAAAUUUUUAAUAUAUUAAUUUUUUUUUGACAUUUCUUACAUAAAGUUCUGGAAUAGUGGGUCUUAUUAGCCAUGAAUAAUGAGCUAGGAUCUCACUUUUAAGUUUUAAUUUUGGGAUGUGACUGAGGGAGCUUUUGAGCUUCGUAUGUACAAACUGUUAUGAAGAUUGUAAAGCUUUGCAAUUUCUCUUUUUAAGAAAUAAUGUGGGUUUUGUUCAAGAGAGAGGAAAAAAAGAAACAUGGUUUGUUUUUCUUAAUGUCCUUAUAACUGCCUAAAUAUGAAAAUGGAUUCAAAGCAUGCUUUCUCAAGUGGUAAACCACAGUGUUUCUAUAACGUGAGCUGUUAGUGUGUGGGGGGGGGGGAGGGGGGAAUGUUUGUGAUGAUGUAAAGUCACAGGUAGAGUUGAGAUGAUCUCUGCACAAUUUGUUGUUGUUGUUGUUGUUGUUGUUUUUCGAGACAGGGUUUCUCUGUAUAUCCCUGGCUGUCCUGGAACUCACUGUAGAUCAGGUUGACCUCGAACUCAGAAAUCCACCUGCUUUUGUCUCCUGAGUGCUGGGAUUAAAGGUGUGCGCCUCCAUGCCCGGCUCCAAAAAUUUUUAAUGGGAAAAAAAGCUAAAAAAUUUUAAUGCUCCUUUUUAAAAUUUUAAUUGUGUAUGUUCCUAUAGGUGAUUUUGCUCAUAUGUGAGCCUGUGGAAGCUAGAGAUCAUCUGGUGUCUUGUUCUAAUCACCCUCUACCUUAAUUUUUUUAUUUGAGAUAGUCUCUAAUUGAACCUGGAUCUCAUAGUUUUAGAUAGAUUGAUGAGCAAGUGAUCCCCUGGAAUCUGCCUGUCUUUGCCUUCUCAGCACCAGGGUUGCAGACACAUACUGUCACCACAACAAUGUGCUUUUUUUAUGUGAGUGUUGGAGACCUGAGCUCAACUUCUCAUGGUGGUGCUACAAGCACUUUCCUAAGCCAUUUCUCCAGCCUAAAUGCUUCUUAAAUUACAUUUCAGUUUUGAGUGUGGUCUUUUGGCUCUAUACUUUUAGAUGUGUGAGAUAGAAUUUAUUUUAUGUCAUCAGGGAGAAUGUUUAGCAGUGCCCCCUUUUCUCUAGAAAAAUGUGUUUAUGGUUUAUAAUCCUAGACUAAGAAUUAUAUAUAGAAAAAAGUGAAUCCAAUCCUUCAGUGUGUUCAGGUUGAAUUCUAAAGAUUGAAAUAUUUAUCUUAAAAAUUAGUGUGGUUGGUCAUUCCAGUACUCCAGAAGCUGAGGCAGGAGGAUUAUGAAUUCUAGGCUAUCUUAAGUAUAUAUUGCUAGACCAUGUCCCCUCAAAAACAAAACAACAAAACCCCCACUAUUGUUAAUUUGUAUUUGCUUGAUAUUAAUUCAGUGAAUUAUGAGCUUCAGUUUCAUGCUUAACUUUUAAUUUAGGGAGUGGCUUUUCUAGGAUUCUGGGGGUUGCUGCUAGUCAUAUUUUUAAAAGUAGUAAUGGUCUCUCCUAAAGGAUCAGGAAUAGGUGUGAGGUAUUCUGUGUAGGCCUUACGGGGUGGAAUGAGAACAUGCCUAGACCUUCAUAGAGAAAAGUGUUGCUCAUGAAACCCAAGAUCAAUAAAAUUACAAGGGUAGUAAGGUACCAGGAGAACACAUAGCCUAAGAAUAAUGGGUAUGGUGAAUUAAAUAAGAAUGGCCCUCCAUAGGCACUUAUAUUUGCAUGCUCAGUCAUCAUGGAGCAACACUGUUAGAAAGAAUUAGGUGUGGCCUUGGAGGAAGUAUGUCACUGGGGUGUUUCAAAAGUCCAAGCCAGGCCCAGUGGCUCUCCUCCUGCUACCUGGGGGUCCAGAUUUAGAACUCUAGUCUACAUCUGCAUAUGUGCCUUCAUGCUCUCUGCCAUGAUGAUAAUGGAGUAAACCUCCUAAACCUAACAAGCCUCCAGUUAAUUGCCUUCCUUUAUAAGAGUUGCUGUGGUCUUGGUGCUCCAACGGUGACUAAAACACUGGGCUUAGAGAUAACUGUGUUGAGGCUCACUCUGUGGAGCUGCCAACAGAUAUGUCAAAGCUCUACCUUCUGAACAUAUUUCCUACAGAUAUUGACCAGUGUCCUCUUCUUGGUAGUUACAUUUUCCAUUCUCAAACUUCUGUGUUUUCUACUGACAGAAUCUUGGGAAGUUUACUAAGGCACUAUGAUAUUGCUUGAAAAGAAACUCAUACUGUUAUUUUGGGGUCUGUUUGAUCUUUCUUUUUUAACUGUGAUGAUGAGUUAUCCACCUAUCAUAGAAAUAGUUGUUCACUUAUCAUCAGUCCUGUUCUGGUCAGACAAUUUCUAGUAGAUUCUGUGUGACAUGUGCUUGAGUUCCCAUAUUGGAACCCAUGAGUCUCUUGAUACUCAUAGUUAAUAUCCAGACAUGCUUUAUAAAAAUGGGGAAAUCUGGACCCUAUCUAGGUUUCUUGUACUAAAACCUGUAUUUUUAACAAAUUUUCAGUAUUUGUUGGGUACAUUAAAAUCUGAGCUGUAGUUUUUUGGGGUGACUACAAGUGCCAGGUUUGUGUCAGAGCUUCAAGGGAGAAUAGACGUAUUCUAUGAGGAAGACCCUGGCUUCUCUAUACCUGAACCCCACAGGGAUUUAGACCUGUGCUUCAUGAACAGCCCCAGGUCCAGCCCCAGACUUAGGCAGAAUCACAGAACAACAAUCUCUAGUGACUAUGAUAGCAGUCCUCUAGCUUGUUGCUCCAGUGUCCAUAUCACCUUGGCCCUUAAUUCACGGAGUGGCUCUUUAUCCCAUUUCUAGGCACAUUUUGGAUAGCUUAAAACACCUUUCAUCUAUUAUUAUUAUUGUUGUUAUUAUUAUUGUUAUUGUUAUUAUUAUUAUUAUAUUGAGUUAAAAUCAGCCUCAGAUUUCACUUGAAUAGAGCACCUCCUGGCCCCACCUGGUCAGGCUCUCAGUUCCACUUGGGAGCCCUGUGGUCUCCAGAUGCCUCUAGCAUACCAAUAGAGAUUGUGUUGGGAAGUAGGGCCUGAAUAGCUUUACAGAGUAAGAGAGCCAUGAGCUCACUGUCCCUUCCUUGAUCAGAACAGUUGCUUCUUGCCCUCUGGUGUGUCUUAGCUUCUGAGGAAAGCCACCUUUGUGAACUUGGGCACUCCAGACUUUCUGUUUGGGAGAGUCUAUGUGGGAGUACCCUCUACUUGCAGAGAUAGGUACAGAUUUGAAUAAACUUAACACUGUUUUUAUUGUUGUUGUUUUAUGUAGCAAUCUAAGAAUGAAUAGAAUAACUACCUAGCUUGCAUUUUGAUUUGUCUCCCACCACUCUGACUGAGUUUGAAAUUUAAUUUGUGUCAGUUUUUGUUGAACUUUCUUUUUUGUCUUUUCUUUUUCUUUUUUUGGUUUGGUUUUUUUUGUUUGUUUGUCUUUUUUUGUUUUUUUGAGACAGGGUUUCUCUGUAUAGCCCUGGCUGUCCUGGAACUCACUUUGUAGACCAGGCUAGCCUCAAACUCAGAAAUCCGCUUGCCUCUGCCUCCCGAGUGCUGGGAUUAAAAGGCAUGUGCCACCACGCCCAGCUUUUGUUGAAUUUUCAAAUUGAGCCCAAUUUUAUUGGAAAUGAUUAGAGCCUGAUGGUGACUGGCUAAUAGAAUGUUUAGCAUUCUAUUAGCAACAUAUAUAUUUCACAGGGGAAAGACUGUCUUGCCCCUAUUCAGAGAUUGAUAGUUAAGUCUUAUAUAGAACCCUUAAUGAAUGUGGACUUUUGUUUCCUAAGCUAUGAUUUCUUACUUUAGCUACAACAGUGAGGCAGAAAAGGCACUGAGCAUACAUUAGAAAAGGCAAACAUAUGUCAGAAACCAUGGCUCUUGCCUGCAAUCACUAUACUCAGGAGCAGGCCAUGAACUUGAGCCCUCCUUGGGCUGCAUAGUGAGUUACAGGCCAGCCAUAGCUAUAUAGUAAAACUCGGUCUCCCCUACCCCCACCAAACAGACCAAAAUAAAAACC
rnacentral:lncRNA from 1 species